CCAGGGCCUAACCACUCUCCUAGUGAAGAAAAGUGAAGUCAGUUAAGUGACAUUAUGACCAGGAUUCCGAGAUGAUUUCUUUACACACACUUGCACGCUCUAUCAAUUUGUUUUCAUUGUGAGUUUUGAAUGAACACAUAUGAGGGAGGACUUUCUUCUCAAGAGAAGUGGAAAUUUGUUGGCUAUUUCUGUUGGCGAGUCACAGGACAAAGCAGAGUGCCUGGGUAUCAUGGUACUUUCACACCUUCUGUCUUCUGAACAUCUCAGUGAAUACUGUGGGAAAUCUAAUUGAGCAAAAGAACAUCUUGAAUGAAUUAUCCAAUGUAGCAUCCUCUCACUAACAGACAAGAUCUGCCCAAGCAUUUUGUCCAGCAGAAGCCUGUGAAGCUUCACUCACGUGAGUAAUUUUAUUGACUGG